rnacentral:rRNA from 1 species
AUUGGACGCUGGCGGCAUGCCUUACACAUGCAAGUCGAACGGCAGCACGGGAGCUUGCUCCUGGUGGCGAGUGGCGAACGGGUGAGUAAUACAUCGGAACGUACCCAGGAGUGGGGGAUAACGUAGCGAAAGUUACGCUAAUACCGCAUAUUCUGUGAGCAGGAAAGCGGGGGAUCGCAAGACCUCGCGCUCUUGGAGCGGCCGAUGUCGGAUUAGCUAGUUGGUGAGGUAAAAGCUCACCAAGGCGACGAUCCGUAGCAGGUCUGAGAGGAUGAUCUGCCACACUGGGACUGAGACACGGCCCAGAAUACUACGGGAGGCAGCAGUGGGGAAUUUUGGACAAUGGGGGCAACCCUGAUCCAGCCAUGCCGCGUGAGUGAAGAAGGCCUUCGGGUUGUAAAGCUCUUUCGGCGGGGAAGAAAUGGCAACGGCUAAUAUCCGUUGUUGAUGACGGUACCCGCAUAAGAAGCACCGGCUAACUACGUGCCAGCCGCCGCAGUAA